CAGUGGUGGGAUCACGAUCAGUAGAAUGGUAGAAUGCUGACGUCACAAAAAUAAUUCUACAAUCGACAAUUUUGGUAUCACGUUAACACGCUUGGGAAAGUAGAAUCGGUGCUCGGCAAUGUUCGGAUAUUCUACUAGCCAUGUUAAAAAUAUCGCUUCUUCUUCUUAAAAAUAUUGCUGUUUGACGUGUGGUUGUCUUUAUUUUGUGGUGGUUGUAUUCAAAAAGCUAACCUAAAGAAAGAUUAUAAUUUGUGAUUAUUUUCAAUUUGUAUAUUUUUGUCUUGGGUUGUUUGGAACUAUUUUAUUAGAAAUCACUAAAUUUUUAAAUUUUACCUGUGACUAGAGAACAUUGUUAUAUUAAGGUAUUUUUAUGUGUGUGAUCCAGACUUAAAAAUUUUAAACAUCGAUGCUAGAUGGGGAGGUGCAACACAUGAUGUGGAGAAACUCAAAUGUAAAACUUUUUUGCAGCAGAUCGUUUAAAAUAGAGAUCAAAGCAUUUUCCAUUUCUAUUCUGGCAAAGAUUACUUUCACUUCUUAGUUAUCUUUGCUGGACGGUGAAGCUUUAUAUCUUAUUAUGAAGUAUUUUGAACAUAAAACUUUUGUUUUAUGGAUGCAUUGAUCAAAUAUCUUAAAGAAAUGUUUAUUUAAAGUUUCAUAAUAAUUUUUAUAAGUAGUUUAAUAUUAUUACUUAUUUUUGCACUAGAAAUAAUAAUUGUAAAGCUUCAUUGACUAAUGGCCAGUUUCACCAAAGAUGAAUAGUAGUUUAUUCGAUGAAUAAAAUUAUUCAACUGAUAAAACUGACACAACUAUGUUUCUCUAACGUCAAAUAGUACUUAUUUUAUUUAUUCAUCAAAUAAAUAUUUACUCUUCAAAUGAAUUGACGAGUUAAUCUCACUUUAAAUAUCUAUAUAAAGAAAAUUUGUCAAUUUAAUUUUAAAUUAUCAAACUAUUCACUGAUUUAUUUGUUGUUGGUGAAACUGGCCAUAGAGAGUAAAAUUGCAUUAUUUUUCAAUUUACAUAAAUUUGUGGUUUAUUUGUGAUUUAUUCUUUGUUCUUAUUUUAGUCUUGGUAUGAAACAAUGUUAAGACAAUACUGUGUGCUUUUUCAGUCCUAUGAAAGAAAAUGUUUUGGAUGUAAUAGAGAAGUACUACAACUUUGUUAUGAAGAUUUGUCUUUAUGUUAUUUUUAUAAUGUUCAUGGAUUAUAUUUGUUUUUAUGUUUUCUUCAGUUUAAAUAAAGUUUAUGUUUUACCCA